CCUACGGGCGGCAGCAGUGAGGAAUAUUGGUCAAUGGACGCGAGCCUGAACCAGCCAAGUAGCGUGAAGGAUGACUGCCCUACGGGUUGUAAACUUCUUUUAUAUAGGAAUAAAAUGAGCCACGUGUGCCUUUUUGUAUGUACUUUAUGAAUAAGGAUCGGCUAACUCCGUGCCAGCAGCCGCGGUAAUACGGAGGAUCCGAGCGUUAUCCGGAUUUAUUGGGUUUAAAGGGAGCGUAGGUGGGUUGUUAAGUCAGUUGUGAAAGUUUGCGGCUCAACCGUAAAAUUGCAAUUGAUACUGGCAGCCUUGAGUACAGUUGAGGUAGGCGGAAUUCGUGGUGUAGCGGUGAAAUGCUUAGAUAUCACGAAGAACUCCGAUUGCGAAGGCAGCUUACUAAACUGCCACUGACAUUGAUGCUCGAAAGUGUGGGUAUCAAACAGGAUUAGAUACCCUGGUAGUC
rnacentral:rRNA from 1 species